GAGCGCAACCCUCGCUGUUAGUUGCCGAUCAUUUUAGUUGGGCACUCUAACGGGACCGCCCGGUGAUAAGCCGGAGGAAGGUGGGGAUGACGUCAAGUCAUCAUGGCCCUUACGGGCUGGGCUACACACGUGCUACAAUGGCGACCAUAAUGGGUUAAUCCCCAAAAGUCGUCUCAGUUCGGAUUGUCACCUGAGGGCAUGAAGUCGGAAUCGCUAGUAAUCGCAGAUCAGCAUGCUGCGGU
rnacentral:rRNA from 1 species